UAACUGGGAUUAGAUACCCCACUAUGCUUAGCCCUAAACUCAGACAAACCACAUACCCACUUUGUCCGCCCGGGAACUACAAGCACCAGCUUAAAACCCAAAGGACUUGGCGGUGCUUAACACCCCCCUAGAGGAGCCUGUUCUAGAACCGAUAACCCUCGUUUAACCUCACCCUUUCUUGCCUAUCCCGCCUAUAUACCGCCGUCGUCAGCUUACCCUGUGAAGGCCUCAUAGUAAGCAAAAUUAGUAAAACUCAAAACGUCAGGUCGAGGUGUAGCAUAUGAAAGGGGAAGAAAUGGGCUACAUUUCCUGCCCCAGGAAAUACGAAAAAUGUGUUGAAACACACACUAGAAGGAGGAUUUAGCAGUAAGCAGGAAAUAGAG
rnacentral:rRNA from 1 species